UACUACUGACUGACCGAUAGUGAACCAGUACCGUGAGGGAAAGGCGAAAAGAACCCCUGUGAGGGGAGUGAAAUAGAACCUGAAACCGUGUACGUACAAGCAGUAGGAGCACCUUUGUGGUGUGACUGCGUACCUUUUGUAUAAUGGGUCAGCGACUUAUAUUCAGUGGCAAGGUUAACCAUCUAGGGGAGCCGUAGGGAAACCGAGUCUUAACUGGGCGUUCAGUCUCUG
rnacentral:rRNA from 1 species